rnacentral:rRNA from 1 species
GCCAGACUCCUACGGGAGGCAGCAGUGGGGGAUAUUGCACAAUGGGGGGAACCCUGAUGCAGCGACGCCGCGUGGGUGAAGAAGUAUUUCGGUAUGUAAAGCCCUAUCGGCAGGGAAGAAAUUGGACGGUACCUGACUAAGAAGCCCCGGCUAACUACGUGCCAGCAGCCGCGGUAAUACGUAGGGGGCAAGCGCUAUCCGGAUUCACUGGGUGUAAAGGGAGCGUAGACGGCCAUGCAAGCCUGGAGUGAAAGCCCGGGGCCCAACCCCGGGACUGCUCUGGGAACUGUGCGGCUGGAGUGCGGGAGGGGCAGGCGGAAUUCCUGGUGUAGCGGUGAAAUGCGUAGAUAUCAGGAGGAACACCGGCGGCGAAGGCGGCCUGCUGGACCGUGACUGACGUUGAGGCUCGAAAGCGUGGGGAGCAAACAGGAUUAGAUACCCCUGUAGAG